UAUUUUAACAAUGGAAAUCAAAACCCAUUUUAUAUUGAACUUACCCGGACCGAAAAUUACUACGGCGAACGUCUGCGCAACCAGGCCUCCUUUACCGUUGGAUUUACAGGGGGGAGGAUGCCACUAAUAUAUUCACGAUAAUAUUUCGAAUUAAAGUAUCAUAUUCUACCAUACUUUCCAACAAGAGCCGCUGUAUAUUACUUCUUCCUUAAAUUUCUUCAAUCUCCGUCGUUUAAUUUUCUUUUCUUCGAGAACAUCUCGAGUUUUAUACAGUAUCCGAUCGAAGGAG